CCCUUAGAUGUUCUGGGCAGCACGCGCGCUACAAUGGUCUUCGCAAACGGAUGCAUUCUCGAAGGAGAAUGCCAAUCUUGGAAUCUAUGCCUUGGUCGGGACAGUUGCUUGCAAUUUUUCGACUCGAACCAGGAAUUCCUUGUAAUCGUGAUUCAUCACAUCACGAUGAAUACGUCCCUGCCCUUUGUACACACCGCCCGUCGCUCCUACCGAUCGAAGAGUUAGGUGAAUUGUUUUGAUCGAUAAGAUUUGACUAUGGUCAACUCUCGUUGUGAAAUUUUGUGAAUCUGACUGUUUAGAGGAAGGAAAAGUCGUAACA
rnacentral:rRNA from 1 species